rnacentral:rRNA from 1 species
AGCGAACGUUAGCGGCGGGCCUAACACAUGCAAGUCGAACGAGAAUGUAGGCUUCGGUCUACUAGUAAAGUGGCGGACGGGUGCGUAACACGUGGGUAAUCUACCUUCCGGCGGGGGACAACAGUCCGAAAGGAUUGCUAAUACCGCGUACGUCAGCGGCGCCUACGGGCGCUGUUGGGAAAGAUGGCCUCUCCUUGGAAGCUGUCACCGGAAGAUGAGCCCGCGUCCCAUCAGCUAGUUGGUGAGGUAAUGGCUCACCAAGGCUAAGACGGGUAGCUGGUCUGGGAGGAUGAUCAGCCACACUGGGACUGCGACACGGCCCAGACUCCUACGGGAGGCAGCAGUGGGAAAUAUUGGGCAAUGGGCGAAAGCCUGACCCAGCCACGCCGCGUGAGUGAUGAAGGCCUUCGGGUCGUAAAGCUCUGUGGGGAGGGACGAACAAAUCUGGGGCUAAUCACCCGGGUCCUGACGGUACCUCCUUAGCAAGCACCGGCUAACCCUGUGCCAGCCGCCGCCGUAACAC